CAGUCGCCGCGGUAAUACGUAGGGUGCGAGCGUUGUUCGGAUUUACUGGGCGUAAAGCGCACGUAGGCGGAUCGAUCAGUCAGGGGUGAAAUCCCAGAGCUCAACUCUGGAACUGCGCUUGUGACUGCACAGCUAGAGUAUGGCAGAGGGGGGUGGAAUUCCACGUGUAGCAGUGAAAUGCGUAGAGAUGUGGAGGAGCACCAGUGGCGAAGGCGACUCUCUGGUCUGUAACUGACGCUGAGGAGCGAAAGCGUGGGGAGCGAACAGGAUUAGAUACCCCUGUAGUCCCUGUCUCUUAUAC
rnacentral:rRNA from 1 species